rnacentral:rRNA from 1 species
UUAUUGUGGAAAUAAGAGUGUGUAGUUAAAUGUUAAGAAUAAGUGUUGUUUUAAGUAAAAUAAAUGAAAGCAAUAAGUAGAUAAUAAAGAAGUACUGUAAAGGAAUGGUAGGAUAUAAUAAAAAGUAGAGAUUGUUCUUGUACCUUUUGCAUUAUGGUUUAGUAAGAUGGAAGAGUUAAAUAGUGUUUCUCGAAACUGGGGGAGCUGUUUUAUUUCUUAGAUGUUAGUCAUAUUCAUUAUUAAGUGUGGCAGAACUUAAGUGAAAGAAGAAAAAAGGUGUGAGAUUCUAUUCGUACCCGGUGAUAGCUAGUUUUUACAUAAAGACAUUUAAGUGUUGUGGUCUAGUAAUAAUUGUUGUUAGUAAUAGUAUUAACAUUAUUAUUUUAGGCUAAUUAGACAGUAGAAGAUAAGCUCUAUUGAUUUAGGUGGGUAGUAAGUAGUGUCGUUAAGCUUAUAGUUGGUUAGAGGAUAAGCAGUUUGUUAUAAAUGACUAAUUGAGGGAUAUUAUAAAAUUUUGUUCUAUAAUAAUAUAUGUGGAAGUGUGCAAGGAAUUAUUAAUUGAUAGUAUUAAUGCUAAAAUGAGUAUUUUUGAGAGAUUUGUGAUGUUUAUUAGAGAUAAAGUAUAAGAUAUGGGCACAUGAUAAGAAGUAUUUGAAUAUUUUCAGAAGGAAUUCGGCAAAAUAAGUUUCUCGCCUGUUUAGCAAAAACAUGGCUCUUUGUUAUAAUAUGGAGAGUUGAGCCUGCCCGGUGAAUAGAAUUUUAACGGCCGCGGUACUUUGACCGUGCUAAGGUAGCAUAAUCACUUGCCUUUUAAUUGAAGGCUGGCAUGAAUGGUUUGACGGGGAAAUACUGUCUCCUGAAAAAUAUUAGAAAUUAAUUUUUAGGUGAAAAAGCCUGAAUGAGAUUAUUAGACGAGAAGACCCUAUCGAGCUUCAUUUUUAUAAGAGAUUUUUAGUCCGUGCUUUUAUUGAAAUUUGGUUGGGGCGACAAAGGAGCAUAUAAAACCUCCUUUAAUAGUUUGGCUAGAGAGUGAUGAUUAGGUGAUCCAAUAAGUUAUUGAUUAAAAGAAAAAGUUACCGUAGGGAUAACAGCAUUAUUUUUUUUGAGAGUUCUUAUCGAAAAAAGAGUUUGUGACCUCGAUGUUGGACUAGGGUGACCUGAAGGUGUAGUAGCUUUCAAGGGUGGGUCUGUUCGACCUUUAAAAUCCU